rnacentral:rRNA from 1 species
CCCGGGUGGCAGCAGUGGGGAAUAUUGCACAAUGGGGGAAACCCUGAUGCAGCGACGCCGCGUGAGUGAAGAAGUAUCUCGGUAUGUAAAGCUCUAUCAGCAGGGAAGAAAAUGACGGUACCUGACUAAGAAGCCCCGGCUAACUACGUGCCAGCAGCCGCGGUAAUACGUAGGGGGCAAGCGUUAUCCGGAUUUACUGGGUGUAAAGGGAGCGUAGACGGCGCUGCAAGUCCGGAGUGAAAGCCCAUGGCUUAACCAUGGUACUGCUCUGGAAACUGUGGAGCUUGAGUGCGGGAGGGGCAGGCGGAAUGCGUGGGGUAGCGGGGAAAUGCGUAGAUAUUAGGAGGAACACCGGCGGCGAAGGCGGCCGGCUGGAGCGUAACUGACGUUGAGGCUCGAAGGCGUGGGGAGCGAACAGGAUUAGAUACCCUUGUAGUC